rnacentral:rRNA from 1 species
AUUGAACGCUGGCGGCAGGCCUAACACAUGCAAGUCGAGCGGUAACAGAAAGUAGCUUGCUACUUUGCUGACGAGCGGCGGACGGGUGAGUAAUGCUUGGGAAUAUGCCUUAUGGUGGGGGACAACAGUUGGAAACGACUGCUAAUACCGCAUAACAUCUCCGGAUCAAAGUGGGGGACCUUCGGGCCUCACGCCAUAAGAGUAGCCCAAGUGGGAUUAGCUUGUUGGUAAGGUAAUGGCUUACCAAGGCGACGAUCCCUAGUUGGUCUUAGAGGAUGACCAGCCACACUGGAACUGAGACACGGUCCAGACUCCUACGGGAGGCUG